ensembl:lncRNA
GUUUGUGUAAUGUGAGUGGAGCUGUUGGCCCCAUUCCUCACUCUUCUCUGGUCGUGUUAGACAUCCACACCCCUGCCACGGCCUCACGGUCAGGAGAGAGCUGUUCUUCAGCCCUUGACUUUGGACUUGACCAAUGGGAUGGGAGCUGACGAGACAUGAGUCUUGAAAAGUCCUUGUGUGGUUGGUCUCGUGCUCUCUUCUCCAUGACCCGCCGUGAGAGGAGCGUGCCUUGGUUAACUGCCGCCCCUUCAGCCUUCCCGAAUGAGGGAAGUGGAACAGACUGGACAGGACCUGCAGCUUGUAGCUCGCAGCAGAGCCACCCACUGAGCCCAGUCGAGAUCAGCAGAACCCCACCCAGCUCUCAGAUCCGUGAGCGUGAGAAUGAGUGAUCCCUCUUUUCAGUUUGGGGUGGUUUGUUAGGCAGCGUUCUUGUGGGAAUGGCAUAUCCAUGUUCCUCCGUGCCUUAUCAUUUGCCAAUCUCUCAUGAAGGUCUUUCUAUAUCAGCAAAUAGAGAGAGAUCUCAUUCUUUAAAAAUAUCGAUGUAGAAUGUUUGGAUGUAUCUUCAUUUAUUCAAUAUUUUGCUCUCACAAUUCUGCAGUGAAUAACCUUGCACAUAUAUCAUUUUGCGCAAGUCCAAACAUCUCUGCAGGAUAAACUCCCAGAAGGGGAAUCGCUGUGUCGAGGAUUAUCUGCAUUCGUAAUUUUGAUAGAUGUCAUCAGAUUCCACGCCACAGGAACACCCCCGCCGACAGCGCCCGCGGAUUUCCCCGCAGCCUCACAGACAAAGCGUGUUAUUAACCUGUAGGAUUUUUGCCAACCUGAUGGGGGAAAAUGGUAUUUCGGUGUAGCUUUAAUUUGCAUUUCUCUUUCUUGAGUGAGACUGAGCAUCUUUUCAAAUGCUUAAGAGUCAUUUGUGUUUUCUUUUCUAUGAACUGCCUAUUCAUUACUCUUUAACCAUUUUUCCAUUAGAUUGUCUUUUUCUUAUUGAUUUCCUCAACACAUAUUUGCUGAACAAAUGGCUGAGUGAAAUCAGGUGAAUUUAAACAAGGGGCUCUGAAUACCGUGGUUUAACCUCCCAGAGAGAGCCUGGCGGAAGCCAGGAUAGAUUUGGCACGGCUGUGGCGGUCCACCGCGUUCUUUGAUAGAGAGUCCGGGAUCUCACGUUUCGGUGCCACUCCUGACCGACGCUCCCCAGGAGGCUGAGCUAAUGAGGCCCAGGAUUUCAGCCACCGAUGACCUUCCUCCAGCGCGUCUCAUGUCCUUCUGCUCCACCUCGGCACAGCAGCUCGGCAAGCCCCAGGGUCCAUCCCUCUGGUGACAGCAAGGCCAGGUCGCCCCUGAGCCCACGAGGACACCCACUGACAGGUGAAAGGGCUCUUUGCCAGGCAGACCCGUGACCCACAGCUGCGCCCUCCAUGGGGCUGUCUCCCAACAUGCAGCCUGCGGCAGAGCCUCUUACAUUUGGUUACAGAUUCCAGUUUGGCAUUUUGACUUCUUUCCUGUUCACUUUUCUUAUUCCACCUGGAACUCGACUGACCCUUCGGCAACAUGCUUCGAGCAUGUGGACUCUGCAGUCACACUGCCGGGUUCAAAUCCUGGCUCUGCCACUUCCAAACUGUGUGACCUUGGGCAAGUGACUCAACCUCUCUGAGCCUUAGUUUCCUCAUCCAUAAAACGAGGGGGACAAUCUCAGUU